AAAUGAACAUGAUAUGCAGCAACAACACAUUUCAUCCAGCAAUAAUUCAAGCCAUGAUGAAAUUAAAUUAUCCUUUGGAAUUUGCGAUUCAGGUUAGGGAUAGGCGAAUUUGAGUGAAACUCCUUGCUUUUGAGAAUCUAUGGUAGUGUAAAACACUCUAAUCCACACACUCAGCAGUUCACAAUCCUUCUGUUUGUUGUGGGAGAGCAUGUGACCCAAGGUGUGAGAGAGAGAGAGAAUUUGAGCCUUAUGCAAAUUUAAAUUGGUUAUAGUUGAAAAAGUAUAAAUGGUAUCAAAAAGCUGAAGACUAUCCCCCUAUUGUGCCAGUCCGGUCAGCACAUUUUAAAGUUUGAAUGGUGUUUCUAGCUAAAACGGUUGAAAACUACUUACGGUCCAAACUUUUAACAUGUCAAACUAUGACCAUUGUAAUGCAUUGUGAUUUGUGCAAGUACUUUUGUGAAAAGUAUUAGUAGUAUCAAAACGUUUUUUUCAAGCAAGUUGUUUUGGUGUUGGUAGAUUUGAUGGUUUUGGUGCUACAGGUGGUAACGGAAUAACAAUACAUUUUGUUGAAAUGAUGUGGAAACAACGUUGAUUCAACCAGUGUGUGUCCUGUGGGAAGUAUGAGCAAGCACACCUAAUUAUUCAUGUAGACAGUUGACUUUAUUGAAUAAUUAACCAUUUUGGAGUUUAGACAAUAGUUAUGAUUAUAUCUAGUUGAUUUCCUUGCACACAUUCAGUAACAAAUAAAAACAAAAUAUUUGUGUCAAAACAAAAUAGCCUACUGACUGACAGGUAAUAAUUUCAGGUGUGGUGAUCCUCAGGUGAUCAUGAGGAUGUGUUCGGCAUAUCUGUCAAUGUCAUACUGUCCUAUAGGCCUACAGUUCAAUCAUGUCCUCCCCUUCCUCCUGGGUGAACAGGUAUGUGGCAAAAUUGAACAAAAACGCCUUAAUCUUAUGCCCGUUUGACACCCACCAUGCUUUGUACAUAGCCUCCCCAAACAGCACAGACAGGAAGAUGAUGACGAAGAUGAGAAAGCAGCGGUCAGUGUAGUAGGUAAUCUUCUCCCUGCGGGUCUUCUGGUCCCAGGGCAGGGCUUGGCGGGCCUCGGCAUAGCGGCUAAAGUGUAGCAAGGCAUCCUCCUCCUCAGCCGUCUCCCUCUCAUGUUCAGUAACUCCGUCUCCUUGUGCCAUCUCUUCAAGACUUCCUCUAUUGGGCGAUUCUAUAUAUCCCUUCACCCUAAACCCUCUAGUUCAGGAUUUCAACGUUCACAAAACUAACAAAUAAUUAGAGAUGGAGAGAAAUGCAGAGAGUGGUGAUUAUAGUUUAACAGCAUCCAUACUGCUUGUGUGUCCCUCGUGAAGAUGGGUAUCCAGUCUGUCGAUUAGCACUCUUGGAUCUCUGGUAACUUAGCUUCCAUUGUCAACUCCUCCUCCUGUUGUUGUCUCUGUUUUCUGAAUCGACGAGAAACAGUCUUGAUGUCUCCUGUGUGUUAUUCUGUCUGGUUUUCUCCCUGUGUUAGACUGGCUGAAGGGAAGAAAGUGCCAGGCUGAUUAGUUAAGUCAGGACACUUCACUAAGAAGAUAUAGGGGAUUAAGCCACACUCAGCAGUUUACAAUCCUGUUUGACCCAAGGUAACAGAUUGUAAAAGAGAGAGAGGGGGAGGGGAGAGGGAGAGAGAAAGAGAGAUAAUUAAAAUGGAAAUUGGCUUUUGUCAAUCAAGUCAGUGUCCUCUUAUACAGACAGUUAGCAUGAUUGAUAGGAGCACAAGCCCUCUUGCAUCAGUGUCACCUCUCCAAUGUCCUGUCAUGCAGUCUUUCAGCUGGGUAGACUGUCCAUUUCUAACAGCUUCUUCUAACAGAUCCAUGCAGGACCUGAGCCACACAAGGCUGCGGGGCCAGACGGAUUACCAGAACGUGUGCUCUGGGCAUGUGCUGACCAACUGGCAGGUGUCUUCACUGACAUUUUCAACAUGUCCCCGAUUGAGUCUGUAAUACCAACAUGUUUCAAGCAGACCACCAUAGUCCCUGUGCCCAAGAACACAAAGGCAACCUGUCUAAAUGACUACAGACCUGUAGCACUCACGUCCGUAGCCAUGAAGUGCUUUGAAACGCCGGUAAUGGCUCACAUCAACACCAUUAUCCCAGAAAACCUAGACCCACUCAAUUUGCAUACCGCCCAAACAGAUCCACAGAUGAUGCAAUCUCUUUUGCACUCCACACUGCGAUUCCCACCUGGACAAAAGGAACACCUAUGUGAGAAUGCUAUUCAUUGACUACAGCUCAGCGUUCAACACCAGAGUACCCUCAAAGCUCAUCACUAAGCUAAGGAACCUGGGACUAAACACCUCCCUCUGCAACUGGAUCCUGGAAUUCCUGACGGGCCGCCCCCAGGUGGUGAGGGUAGGUAGCAACACAUCUGCCAUGCUGAUCCUCAACACUGGUGCUCCCAAGGGGUGCUUGCUCAGUCCCCUCCUGUACUCCCUGUUCACCCACGACUGCAUGGCCAGGUACAAAUCCAAUAUUCAUUAAGUUUGCAGACGACACAACAGUGGUAGGCCUGAUCACCGACAACGACGAGACAGCCUAUAGGGAGGAGGUCAGAGACCUGGCCGGGUGGUGACAGAAUAACAACCUAUCGCUCAACGUAACCAAGCCUAAGGAGAUUAUUGUGGACUACAGGAAAAGGAGCACCGGGUACGUCCCCAUUCUCAUCGACUGAGCUGUA
ensembl:lncRNA